GGGGGUACAGCUCAGUGGAAGAGUGCAUGCCUGGCAUGCACAAGGUCCUGGGUUCGAUCCCCAGUACUGCCG
rnacentral:tRNA from 1 species